rnacentral:rRNA from 1 species
CACGGGGGGGAGCAAGCGUUUGUUCGGAAUCACUGGGCGUAAAGGGCGUGUAGGCGGUCAAGUAAGUGGGAUGUGAAAUCCCUCGGCUCACCCGAGGACCUGCAUCCCAAACUGCUUGGCUUGAGUAUGGGAGAGGAUGAGGGAAUUCCUGGUGUAGCGGUGAAAUGCGUAGAUAUCAGGAGGAACACCGGUGGCGAAAGGCGCUCAUCUGGCCCCAAAUACUGACGCUGAGGCGCGAAAGCUAGGGGGAGCAAAACGGGG